ACACGCUCCACAUUACACAAGCUCUCGUCUUCACCUCCAUUCAUUUCAGCCAGACGACGCGAGGAGGAAAGUGCGGGAGACUGGAAUGAAGCGACUGGAGAGUUAUGAAGGAUGAUGCCGCCGAAGUCCCGAGCGGCUUCGAGACAAGGAAGAGAAGCUCCGCGACUCACUUGAGCCAGUCAGUCAGUGCUGUGACACAAGGAGCAGCUUUCUCAGCGACGGGGAGCGGUGGACGGCGGAUGAAUACUUCGGCUCCCGCGCCUUCUUCUGCAUCAUGUCCGACCCUCUGACCCUGGUGGUGGGCGACCUGCGUCAGAGGAGUUGAAAAUGUAGGGGACUCGCUGCUGUGCCCUGCGUGUAGCUGUGAGGUGAAGUACAGACGGCUGCAUUGUCUCAGCCUCGGAGGUGCCACUUGUUCAAAUUACGAAUGGUUUAAUGUUAUUUUUUGCAGGCUGUGGAAUAUUGCAGUAUCUUAUAACAAGACAAAUGAUAUAAA